AACGAACGCUGGCAGCAUGCCUAACACAUGCAAGUCGAACGAGACCUUCGGGUCUAGUGGCGCACGGGUGCGUAACGCGUGGGAACCUGCCCUUAGGUUCGGAAUAACUCCCCGAAAGGGGUGCUAAUACCGGAUAAUGUCUUCGGACCAAAGAUUUAUCGCCUUUGGAUGGGCCCGCGUUGGAUUAGCUAGUUGGUAGGGUAAAAGCCUACCAAGGCGACGAUCCAUAGCUGGUCUGAGAGGAUGAUCAGCCACACUGGGACUGAGACACGGCCCAGACUCCUACGGGAGGCAGCAGUGGGGAAUAUUGGUCAAUGGGCGAAAGCCUGAUCCAGCAAUGCCGCGUGAGUGAUGAAGGCCUUAGGGUUGUAAAGCUCUUUUACCCGGGAUGAUAAUGACAGUACCGGGAGAAUAAGCUCCGGCUAACUCCGUG
rnacentral:rRNA from 1 species